UCACCUCUGCAGGCUGGCUGGUCCCCAGCUGGGUUGGGCAAAUAUCUUUUUGAAAAGCUCAUCCUCAAGCAUGACUAGGAGU
rnacentral:pre_miRNA from 1 species